GGGAGCAGAGUGACAGGUGGUGCAUGGUUGUCGUCAGCUCGUGUCGUGAGAUGUUGGGUUAAGUCCCGCAACGAGCGCAACCCUUGAUCUUAGUUGCCAUCAUUAAGUUGGGCACUCUAAGGUGACUGCCGGUGACAAACCGGAGGAAGGUGGGGAUGAC
rnacentral:rRNA from 1 species